rnacentral:rRNA from 1 species
AUUGAACGCUGGCGGCAGGCCUAACACAUGCAAGUCGAACGAGUGGCGGACGGGUGAGUAAUGUCUGGGAAACUGCCUGAUGGCGGGGGAUAACUACUGGAAACGGUAGCUAAUACCGCAUACCAUCAGAUGUGCCCAUAUGGGAUUAGCUAGUAGGUGGGGUAAAGGCUCACCUAGGCGACGAUCCCUAGCUGGUCUGAGAGGAUGACCAGCCACACUGGAACUGAGACACGGUCCAGACUCCUACGGGAGGCAGCAGUGGGGAAUAUUGGACAAUGGGGGAAAGCCUGAUGCAGCCAUGCCGCGUGUGUGAAGAAGGCCUUCGGGUUGUAAAGCACUUUCAGCGGGGAGGCGUUACCCGCAGAAGAAGCACCGGCUAACUACGUGCCAGCAGCCGCGGUAAUAC